ACUAUCUAUGGCACACUGGUUCUUUCCUGCCUUGCUGUGUUAUGGAAUUGAAAUUUUUAUCUGGGAAUGGCUAUUCAAGUGGACAAGUUCAACUUUGAGAGUUUCCCGGAGUCCCCUGGGGAGAAGGGGCAAUUUGCAAACCCCAAGCAGCUGGAGGAAGAGCGGCGGGAAGCCCGAGGCCUGGAGAUCCACAGCAAGCUGGGCAUCUGCUGGAG
rnacentral:lncRNA from 1 species